rnacentral:rRNA from 1 species
GAGUAAUGCGUGACCAACCUGCCCCAUGCUCCAGAAUAGCUCUUGGAAACGGGUGGUAAUGCUGGAUGCUCCAACUUGACGCAUGUCUUGUUGGGAAAGUGUUUAGUGGCAUGGGAUGGGGUCGCGUCCUAUCAGCUUGUAGGCGGGGUAAUGGCCCACCUAGGCUUCGACGGGUAGCCGGCCUGAGAGGGCGGACGGCCACAUUGGGACUGAGAUACGGCCCAGACUCCUACGGGAGGCAGCAGAU